GUUUGAUCCCUAUAAGAAAGAUUUAUUACAUAAAGGCCCUCAAAUAUAUUUGUUUGGUCCCUUUACUCAAGUUUUAUUAUAGAACAGUACCCUAUAAUUAAGUAUUAGUCCCUGCAAUAAAUUUUUAUUGCAUAAAUAAACCAAUUAGAAGCCAACUUUGGGGGCCCUAUUUAGCUGGAUCUAUGCGGGCCCAUUGGGCCGUGUCCGAUAUGGGCCCUAUCGGGCCAUGCCCAUUAUGGGCCAACUCUGGGCCCUGUUGGGCCGUGUCCAAUAGUAUUCUUUUUGGAUUUUGCUUAGUUCUGAAAUUAACAAGGAAUUAAUUAAAUUUAAACAGGUGAACCUGAUCCGCCUAUCUGAAGUAGGGAUUAAGCGAGAAGAUGUAAGUAACUUAAUGCUUCAAAGUACAUUUUUAUAAAUUAUUUGUUAAAAUAAUUAUUACUGGAUUAAAUUUUGAAAUAUGUUUUGUAUUUAGUAAAAUGGGUCUGACAUGUU
rnacentral:lncRNA from 1 species